AAACAGAGAAGAAGAAUCGUGUGUUAUGCCUGAACUAUGCAAAGUGGAUCAUUUUUACACUUCAUGGGGAAAUUGGAGUGCGUGUAACGCCACUUGUGGUUAUGGUACUAAACA